GGCUAUGCGUCAGCGCCAUAGCAUACGCCGGCGUUUGACGCAGAAGUAUAAAUCAGCCUUAAGUCAAGAACCAAAUGAAGCACCAGAGUACAGAUUAUGGAGGUAUCUGAAGUUGAACUAACUGGAAGCAGGGAACCAUACUAAUAAAGUUCCUUAAGCAGGUUCCUUGUAAAGAUUAACCCAGGGAAGGAUCGAAAGUGGAGAAGACCAGAUCAAGAAAGACUACAUCAAGAUCUGCGGUCAGUUCAAAGGAUGUUUUGCAUUGGACUGUUUUUUUUGGCUUUGACCCUUGCUUGCCCCUGACCUCACUCUUGGACUGCCCUGUUGGAUUUUCAGUUUAUUUAAUUAAAAAAAAAUUUUUUGGUUCUGGGUAGAUGCUAAU